CCCUUAGAUGUCCGGGGCCGCACGCGCGCUACACUGAAGGAAUCAGCGUGGCUUUCUCCCUGACCCGAAAGGGUUGGGAAACCCGUUGAAUCUCCUUCGUGAUAGGGAUUGGGGCUUGAAAUUGUUCCCCAUGAACGAGGAAUUCCCAGUAAGCGCGAGUCAUAAGCUCGCGUUGAUUACGUCCCUGGCCUUUGUACACACCGCCCGUCGCUACUACCGAUUGAACGGUUUAGUGAGGGCCUCGGAUUGGUCUCGGCCCGCUCUUUACCGGGCGGCGCCGUUGGUCGAGAAGACGCUCGAACUUGAUCGUUUAGAGGAAGUAAAAGUCGUAACA
rnacentral:rRNA from 1 species